CCUACGGGGGGCAGCAGUGGGGAAUCUUCCGCAAUGGGCGAAAGCCUGACGGAGCAACGCCGCGUGAUCGAAUGAAGGCCUUCGGGUUGUAAAGAUCUGUUGACAGGGACGAAUAAGCCAUGCGAAUAGUUUGGUGUAUGACGGUACCUGUUUAGAAAGCUCCGGCUAACUACGUGCCAGCAGCCUCGGUAAUACGUAGGGAGCAAGCGUUGUCCGGAAUUACUGGGCGUAAAGGGCGCGUAGGUGGGUGCGUAAGUCAGGUGUGAAAACGCUGGGCUCAACCUGGAGACUGCACUUGAAACUGGGUAUCUUGAGGGCAGGAGAGGAAAGUGGAAUUCCUAGUGUAGCGGUGAAAUGCGUAGAUAUUAGGAGGAACACCAGUGGCGAAGGCGGCUUUCUGGACUGUAACUGACGCUGAGGCGCGAAAGCGUGGGUAGCGAACGGGAUUAGAUACCCUUGUAGUC
rnacentral:rRNA from 1 species